rnacentral:rRNA from 1 species
UACAGAGGGCUCAAGCGUUGUUCGGAUUCAUUGGGCGUAAAGGGUGCGCAGGCGGCCGUGUGUGUGAGGCGUGAAAGCCCGGAGCUCAACUCCGGAAUUGCACCUCAAACUACACGGCUAGAGCAUUGGAGAGGGAAGCGGAAUUCACGGUGUAGCAGUGAAAUGCGUAGAUAUCGUGAGGAACACCAGAGGCGAAGGCGGCUUCCUGGACAAUUGCUGACGCUCAGGCACGAAAGCGUGGGGAGCAAAAGGG